GUUUCACGAUGAUGAUCAUGAUGAUCAUGAUCAUGAUCAUGAUCAUGAUCAUCAUGAUGAUGUUUC
rnacentral:miRNA from 1 species